GUGAAAGCAUGGCCUAUCGAUCCCUUAGUCUUUACGAGUUUUAAGCUAGGGGUGUCAGAAAAGUUACCACAGGGAUAACCCCCCUCCAUGUAGACAUCAGUGUCACCACAAAUUUCCCACCCCGAAUUCCCACCCUAAGCCUUUGUCUUCGACUGACAAAUGCUUUUUGCAACGAUAAAUGUGAAUUAUUACUUUUCCGAGUAAAAUUGUGUUGCGUGCACACUGGUGCAGGAAACAAUAUCCUCGUUACGUGGUGUUUCCACAAACAAAAACAAUUAUACUUUAUCGCCAUGCAAACAUACCAAGAACUUAAUAUCCUCCUUACUGACAUGCCAGAACAAAAUGCAUGAUAGUGAUUUUUUGGUAAACGUCCUUCUUAUUCCCUUAUCUUUUGCCGUUUACCAGUCACAUUAUGCAAAUCUU
rnacentral:rRNA from 1 species